CGUGGCCGUGGUCGCGCUGGCGGCGACCGGCGUCGGCCUCGCCGCCGGUGGCGCGGUAGCAGCUGCGGCAGGAUCGGCCACUGCGGCGACAGC
rnacentral:tRNA from 1 species